UCCUGAAACACUGACAGAAAUAAAGAUGCUAAUCCAGAUUUACUAAAACAGUUAUGAUCUCUGUAAAGUGAUUAAAGUGAUCUAAGAACAUAGUAAACGUGUUGAUGCUCGCAAAAAGAUGCCUGGCCAGGUUUUGUCAGAGUCCUUUCACUUUUGUUGUAGUAUUACGUUAAAUCUGUUUUUUUUUAGUUAUAUAUAUAUUAUAUAUAUAUAUAUUAUAUAUAUAAUCUGUUUUGUGUCGCCCACCCCCACCUCCCAGCUAACAUUAUGAGGUUAAAUCUGUUAUUUUUAUUUAAUUAAACAACUUUUCUUGCAGAGCUUGUUGAGAAUUGUCUGUCUCUGAGGUGUUACGUUGCGUGUCCUUGUACGCGACCACACUUGGGUGAAGAGUGCCUAAAUGACCAGCGUUGGAGGAUCACCAGGGGCCUGUUUAA